rnacentral:rRNA from 1 species
GGACCCGCACAAGCGGUGGAGCAUGUGGUUUUAAUUCGAUGCAACGCGAAAAACCUUACCUACUCUUGACAUCCUUGGAAUCUCUUGUAAUGAGAGAGUGCCUUUUGGAACCAAGUGACAGGUGCUGCAUGGCUGUCGUCAGCUCGUGUCGUGAGAUGUUCCGUUAAGUCGGAUAACGAGCGCAACCCUUACCCUUAUUUGCCAGCGGUUCGGCCGGGAACUAUAAGGGGACUGCCGGUGAUAAACCGGAGGAAGGUGAGGACGACGUCAAGUCAUCAUGGCCCUUACGAGUAGGGCUACACACGUGCUACAAUGGGAAGUACAGAGGGACGCCAAAGCGCGAGCUGGAGCUAAUCUCUUAAAGCUUGUCUCAGUUCGGAUAGGAGUCUGCAACUCGACUCCUUGAAGUUGGAGUC